UUUAUAUGAGAGUUUGAUCCUGGCUCAGGAUGAACGCUGGCGGCGUGCCUAAUACAUGCAAGUCGAACGAGUUCUCGUUGAUGAUUGGUGCUUGCACCGAGAUUCAACAUGGAACGAGUGGCGGACGGGUGAGUAACACGUGGGUAACCUGCCCUUAAGUGGGGGAUAACAUUUGGAAACAGAUGCUAAUACCGCAUAGAUCCAAGAACCGCAUGGUUCUUGGCUGAAAGAUGGCGUAAGCUAUCGCUUUUGGAUGGACCCGCGGCGUAUUAGCUAGUUGGUGAGGUAACGGCUCACCAAGGCGAUGAUACGUAGCCGAACUGAGAGGUUGAUCGGCCACAUUGGGACUGAGACACGGCCCAAACUCCUACGGGAG
rnacentral:rRNA from 2 species